GUGUUGUUCAUGUAAGUAAAAAAUUGGUGAUAAGUCGAAUUCUAUAGGUCAAAUUCAGAAGGAAAUAAAUGGAGGACGAACACGUAAUUCCGACGAUAUAUGUUGUCAAAAGAGAAACAGAUAUUUCAUAACGUGCCAUUUUUUGCAUAGCUUUGGCAUCAUAACAAAGUAAGGCGUUGAAAUGAUUUCAAGAAUAGUGUCGAAUAAAAACAAAUCAUGAACAAAUGAACCAUCAUAUAUUCCAGACUUAGAAUUUACCACGUCUACACAAGACUCGUUCGUUGCAGUCCAACA
rnacentral:lncRNA from 1 species